CACGGUCCAUUUUGGAGUUUUUGCGUGCUGAACCUUAUACGUGUAAUUAUGAUUAAGUCCUUGGUUUUUCGCAGUUUAACCCUAGAAGUUUUGUUUUUCUCUCAGAAAAGCCCUUGGAUCUUGUUUUAAUCAUAUCUUUUGCAUCUUAACUCCGUUUUUCGCGUUCUUUAUAUCCACGUGUUCGUUUUAAAGCGUAGAUUAAUCUUUCAAACACGUUUUC
rnacentral:lncRNA from 1 species